CAUGUUUUUGUCUCAAUUUACUGUUUACUUGUUAUAUAUAUUGCCUGUUCAGAACUGAAAACAUUUAAGAAACUAGUAGUUCUAGGGCUGUAUUGGGGUCUCUCUCUCUCUCUUUCAUAAAGUAGAGUGGUAAGGCUUGCUGCCUUCUGUCUUGGUCAAUUUGUAACAGAGUCCUGUGGGAUGCAGCCCUUAGCAUUACCCUGCAGCCCGGUACCCCUAGUGGCCCUGCUCAGCCACUGGUUGGUGCCACAGCGGCCCCUCCCACAAGCGACCAACUGUCAGAGAGCAACCGUUAGUGGUCCUGCUCAGCCACUGGUCAGUGCCACGCGGGCCCCUCCCACAAGCAACUGUCAGUGAGCUACCGUCAGUGGCCUGUUCAGUCAGCUGUAGGCAAAGUGGUGGUCCUCAGGCGAAGAGUGAGACUAGAGGUGGAUCCUGGCUUCUCCCGGGGCUCACCCUGCCUAGGGCCAGGGGGUGAACAGGUGGCCCAGGAAACAGUCUGAAGGUGGUGUUCUGUAGGGCUCCAGAGCCCCCACCAAGGCCGCCCUGUUGCUGGGCCGGGCCCUGAGGUGGCAGUGAACUUCUCCCCCAUUCCUGCCUCUGCCCCCUCAUGGAAGCCACCGUCUGCAUAGAACGCGGUCUGUGGGAUUGAUCCCUGCCUCUGGGCAGCCUGAGGAGCUUGCGAGAGGGCUGUGUCCCGGGCGUUUCACUCCUUCAUGGAUGCCAUUUGGUCAGGGUCUGGGGACCUGGCCCUGAGGGAGCCACUAGCUGAGCUCUGCCUCCUCUCAAGCCAGGACGGGACCUCAGAGAAAGUUGUGCCUGUCGUGCCUGAGGGCCUGGUUGUUUCUCCUCAGAACCAGGAAUAACACUUGUUUAGCGCAGAUUUACAGGAACAUCAUUACCUGACCAGGACUUGACCUUGGGAAAGGCUCCACGACACCAAGGAGUUUAGACACCUCAUCAUGCCCCUCCCUCCCCUUUCCUAGAAAAGGCCUCUGCUGAGAGCUUUUGGGGAGUCUGGGGUUUAGGAGCUGAGCCACCUGUCUCCUCAGUGGCCCUACACGAAAUCUUCCUCUGCACCAAAAGCAGACAUUUCAGUAUCUUUUGGCCCCACUGGGCCAUGGGGCCCAGAUACUUGUGUUUCAAUAACACAUGAAGGCAGAGACCCUCCCUCCACCCUCUAAAGUCCCUUCCCCACUCUGGGUCCUCCUCUAAGAAUGUGGCUUCUCAAAAGGGAAGGAGACCCAGGGUGACGGGGCAGCACGGGUGGAGUGGGACCCAGUCUCCUGACCAGACUCGGACUGACGGGCCUGUGUCUGGGGAUGGGAUCGGGCCAGCAUCCUGACCAAAGCCGCCAUCCUGGGGGGAGCCAGUCACACUUUGGGCUAAGACCUGCCCAGCAGGACCUCGGCCUUCAGGGGAACAGGGCCGGCAGAAUGCAGAUGCCCCAUCCUGGUUGCUACGGGCCUGCCUCACCGGGCAGAGGAUACGCAGCUACCUGGUGGGAACAGAGGACCCAGCCCAGAGGAGGAUGCUGCCUCCCCACGCAGAUCUGGAGGGGAGCCUGUGGGCGGGAAAGAUCGAACAUCAAGUGACUCCUGAAGAGCUACAGCACUUAAAUGCACUCUUUCAGGAGUAUGAGAAGAGAGGAAGACAGCUGCUGGAUAUGGAAACUUUCAAGUGCAUAAUGAAGCAGAGCACGAGGUCACGGAAGAAAGUAAAUGGGUUUUAUAAAUGUUGGAUCAUUGAAACCACAGUUAAAACUUCAACUGUAGGAACCAAUUAGGCCUGAUGAUCUAUCUGCACAAUCGCUCUCAGCUCUGAACUGUGAUUUCUGCUGAGAUCCAGCCGGCUUACUGAACAGUUUAUAUGGGAAAAUAUUUCUAAAUUACUUGGUACACUAGGCCAACAAAACACGUAGAGACUUUUCUGGAAAAGGAGAAAAAGGCUCUUAUUAGAUCACUGGUUCUUUGUGUAUGUGUGCUCAGUAGCUUCGGUCAUUUGACCCCUUGUGACCCUAUGGACUGUAGCCCGCCACGCUCCUCUGUCAAUGGGAUUUUCUAGGCAAGAAUACUGGAGCGGGUUGCCAUUUCCUCCUCCAGGGGAUCUUCCCAAGCCAGGGAUCAAACUUGAGUCUCCUGCAUGUCUUGCAUUGGUAGGCGGAUUCUUUACCAAUGAGCCAUCAGGGAUAUGGGUUGUUCCCAAAGAGUUUGGGCAUUUUUCCCACCCCUAAACUGCUGGAAUUAGGAUUUUAAAUAUUCUCUCUGCCAUCUUAGUUGCCUGGUUUUUGGCCCAGAGUAUGAAAUCUUAUUGAAUAUUUUAGUCUGUUCAGGCUAUAAAAAUGCCAUGAAAAGAGUGGCUUAUAAAUGACAAGCCUUUAUUUCUCACAGUUCUGGAGGCUGGAACAAGGUCAAGGUGCCCAAAGUCUCUGGUGAGGGUCCUCCUUCAGGUUGCAGACUUCUCAUUGGAUCCUCCCAGGGAAGAAGGGGCAAGGGAGCUCUCUGGGGUCUCUUGCAUAAGAUGACAAAUGCUAUUCUUGAGGGCUCCAUGUUCAUGCCCCAAGUAUUAACCUCCCAAAGGUCCCACCUCCUAAUACCAUCUCUCUGGGCAUUAGGGUUUCAACAUGUGAACUGGAUUGGGACACAAACAUUCAAGCCAUAGCAAUGACUAGGCUAUGUUCAUAAGAUAAAAUACAGGCUAUAUCAAGAGAUGCUGUUUAUACUCUACUUUCUAAAGUUUCAUUGCAUCUUAAACUGUAAAAAAAAAAAAAAAUUCAAGAUAAAGUUCUACAGUCUUGUCCCUGGAGUUUGGACAAAACCCCACCAUUGUCAAACUGCAAGUGGAUGAGGUCCCCAACGCCUCUUCUGUGUUACAAAGUGUCCAGUUUUCAUGGCUAUAGUAGAAGUUUAAGUGUGCUUAGAGUUUCAUCCACUGUGAAGUGAUCAUUAAAUAGCACCUACCUUUUAAAAAAUACUCCAUAUGCAUAAUGUUAAACAAAAAACCUUCUUCUGGGUAGAGAGAGGAGUGUUUUUAAUAGAUUUUUAUCAGGUACUUUAGAUAUUAACACACUGUAAAUGAACUAUACUUCAAUAAUAUAAAUUUGAAAAUAAACAUAUAAAUUAUCAGGUGUUUUAACAAUAUCCCAGAUCUUUUUAACCAAAGCAGUCUGAUUAGCUACAUUUUUAGCAUGCCUGCCAGCCUAGUCAGUCAUCUCAUUCUUUCUCCUCUGAUUCAUUCGCUCACUCAGUCACUCAUUCUUUCAAUAAAUAUUUACCUGUGGCACACAGAGUCAGCCAAGACGUGGUCUCUGUCCUUAGGCAGGUCAGAGCUGACCUAGAAUUCAGUCUGGGUGCUGUGGGAACAUCUAAAGCAGAGCAGGAAGCCAGGAAGUUCUCCUGGAGGAGAUGAACCCUGGGCUGUUUUCAGGGGCCCGAUGUGAAGGGUGAGUAUUUCUGAUAUGGGUGGCAUCGAGGAAUGGUGGUCUCACACCAAGCUCUGCGGUUGCCUUGGGGAGCAGAGAAGGUGAUGUUCUAUUUUCCUAUUUCUGUAUCUUCCCAUGUGCUGUUUCCUUAUCUAGAAUGCUUCCCUCCCAUUUUUUGCCAGAGUAAUAAUCCUCUCUGUUUUCUGAUUUUUCUUUAUAUUCCCAGAAUUCAGGACCAUGCCUGGCAUGUACAGGUGCCCAAAUAAAUGCUACAGAAUGAGUGAAUGACUUUAAGGCAAUGUAGUCAUCGUGGACUCAGUUGAGUAUGUCUUAGCAGAAGGAGAAGGGGAUAACAGAGGAUGAGAUGGUUGGAUGGCAUCACUGACUCAAUGGACAUGAGUUUGAGCAAACUCUGGGAGAUAGUGAAGGACAGGGAAGCCUAGAGUGCUGCAGCUCAUGGGGUCACAAAGAGUUGGACAUGACUGAGCGCCUGAACAACAGCAAUUUUCCUAGAAGUAGCUGCUGCUUCUUUUAAGCUGAUAGUGGUCUGCAGUUUCCUGUAACACAGAAGUUAUCUUUUGCACUACAUUGCUGACUCACCAUAACCCCAGUAGGCAGCAAAUGCCAUGAGGGCAAUAAGGCAUCUUUCAGCUCCGAAGCUACAACAUCCAGCACAAAGCCUGGCACACCACUGGUGCUCAACAAGUGAGCAAUGUGAGGCGGCAGUGGUCCAGUGUCCCUCACAUAGUCAUGCUGAGAAGGCAGUCCCCCGGGCAGGGGCAGAGGCUGUUCCUGUAAACACAGGCUUCCCAACUCUGCUCUGGCUGAUGGAAGAAGCUGGGUGUCUCUGGGCAGAGUUACAAUGCUGCAAGGCCAAGGGGUGGUCAUGUGACGGCCGGUGCACUGCCUGAGGGCCCACUCCCACCGUGGCCCUUGCCUGCUGGUGGCCAGGCAGACCCAUGCCUCUUCCAGACUCUGUUUUGUGGCGACAGGGGAGAACCAGGUGGGCAGCCUGAGCCCAGGCAGUGAUUGCCCUCCUCUUGAGCUUUUUUGUUUUCACUUCCCUCUCUGGUCCUAGUCUCUCAGGAAGCCACCCCUCCGGGUGUUUUGGUUUGUUUUCAUUCUAAAAGUAUUUGUUACAAACUAUGUGCAUAGUAUCACCUUGUUGCCAUGGUAAUGUCUGCACUGUAAGCCACACCCAGGAGUGCAGAGCAUGUCUCCUUGGGAGCAUGACUUAGAAGGAACUGGGCUGACCUUAGUCCACAGCCAGGGUGUCUCCUCAUGACCCCUACGCUGACACUGGGUAUUGACUCACCAUGGGGUGAUGCCCUGGUGUCUUGGAGAUCAGGCAUCAUCUCUUUUUCUCCAUUUCAGCUUCAUUACUGUGCAAAGGCAAACACCCCUGAGACUUGUAAGAGAAAAGCCAACAUCUCACUCCCCAAAAUAGACAUAAAACCUGACCAUCUCUAGCGAAGCUGCAAUUAUGGAAUCCUGGGUUUUGAGAGGACUUGAAAGGUCACUUAUAUAUUACCUCUUCAGUGGACAAAUUCUCUUUUCUGUGAGCCAGGAGCCUGCAUCUGCUCGAAUACCUUAAGUUAAAGGCAACUUCAGCUAACGGUAGCCCAUUUCCCAUUUCAAGGUUGGAGAGCUCUGACCUUAAUUUUUUCCCUUUAUGAACUGCAAUUGGUCUGUCUUGACUUUCUACCCAUUAGCCCACUUUCUAAUCUUUUGAACCACUCUAUAAGAAUACACAGAAGAACUGUACAAAAAAGAUCUUCGCGACCAAAUAAUCAUGAUUGUGUGAUCACUCACCUAGAGCCAGACAUCCUGGAAUGUGAAGUCCAGUGGGCCUUAGAAAGCAUCACUACGAACAAAGCUAGUGGAGGUGAUGGGAUUCCAGUUGAGCUGUGCUGCACUCAAUAUGCCAGCAAAUUUGGAAAACUCAGCAGUGGCCACAGGACAGGAAAAGGUCAGUUUUCAUUCCAGUCCCAAAGAAAGGCAAUGCCAAAGAAUGUUCAAACACAGCUGCUCUCAUCUCACACGCCUGUAAAGUAAUGCUCAAAAUUCUCCAAGCCAGGCUUUAGCAACAUGUGAACUGUGAACUUCCAGACAUUCAAGCUGGUUUUAGAAAAGGCAGAGGAACCAGAGAUCAAAUUGGCAACAUCUGAUGGAUCAUGGAAAAAGCAAGAGAGUUCCAGAAAAACAUCUAUUUCUGUUUUAUUGACUAUGCCAAAGCCUUUGACUGUGUGGAUCACAAUAAACUGUGGAAAAUUCUGAAAGAGAUGGGAAUAUCAGACUACCUGACCUGACUCUUGAGAAACCUGUAUGCAGGUCAGGAGGCAACAGUUAGAACUGGACAUGGAACAACAGACUGGUUCCAAAUAGGAAAAGGAGUACGUCAAGGCUGUAUAUUGUCACCCUGCUUAUUUAACUUCUAUGCAGAGUACAUCAUGAGAAACGCUGGGCUGGAGGAAGCACAAGCUGGAAUCAAGAUCGCUGGGAGAAAUAUCAAUAACCUGAGAUAUGCAGAUGACACCACCCUUGUGGCAGAAAGUGAAGAACUAAAAAGCCUCUUGAUGAAAGAGGAGAGUGAAAAAGUUGGCUUAAAGCUCAACAUUCAGAAAACGAAGAUCAUGGCAUCUGGUCCCAUCACUUCAUGGGAAAUAGAUGGGGAAACAGUGGAAACAGUGUCAGACUUUAUUUUUGGGGGGCUCUAAAAUCACUGCAGAUGGUGAUUGCAGUCAUGAAAUUAAAAGACGCUUACUCCUUGGAAGGAAAGUUAUGACCAACCUAGAUAGCAUAUUGAAAAACAGAUGUUACUUUGCCAACAAAGGUCUGUCUAGUCAAGGCUAUGGUUUUUCCAGUGGUCAUGUAUGGAUGUGAGAGCUGGACUGUGAAGAAAGCUGAGUGCCGAAGAAUUGAUGCUUUCGAACUGUGGUGUUGGAGAAGACUCUUGAGAGUCCCUUGGACUGCAAGGAGAUCCAACCAGUCCAUUCUAAAGGAGAUCAGUCCUAGGUGUUCAUUGGAAGGACUGAUGUUACAGCUGAAGCUCCAAUACUUUGGCCACCUCAUGUGAAGAGCUGACUCAUUGGAAAAGACUCUGAUGCUGGGAGGGAUUGGGGGCAGGAGGAGAAGGGGACGACAGAGGAUGAGAUGGCUGGAUGGCAUCACUGACUCGAUGGAUGUAAGUCUGAGUGAACUCUGGGAGUUGGUGAUGGACAGGGAGGCCUGGCGUGCUGUGAUUCUUGGGGUUGCAAAGAGUCGGACACGACUGAGCAACUGAACUGAACUGAACUGGUGAGUUAUCCAUUCCUAGCUACUCACUAGCUUAAAGCUACAUAUUAUUUCACAGUUUUUGUAAGUUAGGCAUCCAGUUGUGGCUUAGCUGGACUCUGUUUCAAGGUGUCUCAUGGGGCUGCAUCGAGGUAUUUAUAUGCUAGGGUCUCAUCUGAAGGCUUGACUAGGGAACAGUGCACUUCCAAGGACACAUGAUUGUUGUCAGGAUUCAGUUUCUUGCUGGUUGUUGGACUAAAGCCUCAGUUCCUUGAUGGCUGUUUGUCCAUUUCCAUGUAAGCAUCUCUACAUGGCAGCUCACAGCAUGGCCACUGGCUUCCUCAAAGCCAGCAAGGGAGAGAGAGCCUACCAGCAAGACAGAAGUUAUGAUCUCAUAUAACCAUAGAGGUGACAUCCCCUUGGGGUUGACGUACUCAACUAGCUACCAGCAGUUUCUCAAGGAGUCGGGGUUGGUAUUCAUCAGCCGUGAACACCAAACGGCAGGGAUCACGGGGUCCAUCUGCCUGGACUGCCACACAGAAGAAAUUUACUUUCUUUCCCACAGAAUCAUCCUUCCAAUACUUGAAAGUAACUUUCACAUCUUUCAUCUUGGCUAUAGUCAAGUGAGUAUCCUUACUAUCCCAGCCAUUGUCCUCAGAACUUGCUAUGUGGCUUGCAGUGUCAAAGUGGAGCCCCUAAACAGAGUUCACCUCCCAGGGUGGAGUGGGAUCUCCUGGGAACAUGAGCCCUGGGAGACCCGCAGCUCCUUCUGCUAAUUAAGGCUUGAUUUCAAAGACAGAAGUUCUAGAAGCCCAGUCUUUCACUGCAGAAGAGUUUUGGCAUCAGUGCACUGAAUUCAGAUUAAGAGUCCUAUUAAUGUUUUAGAGCGAAUGUUCCAGAGUUCUUUGAGUAUUAUGUAUUUUUGAAUAUGAAAUUUCAUAAAUUGGAAAAAUGAAGAUUUUCUCCUCCUUCUGUAUCCCCCCACCCACCCACCAAUCUAGUGAAUAGCUUACUCUAAAGACAUUUUUUUUUUCCUCUCUAGAAUAUUAAACAAAUAGAACAAGUUUUCAUGAAAAUAGACUAUGAAGCAGUGGGCAGAAUUCAGUGGGUAAGCUGGGUUGUGUUUUGUGAAUCAGACUUGAAGUUACUGAGGAAAGGGUAUAAAAUGUUUGUUUCUGAGCCUUUCUGGAGUAUCGUAUGCCCCUUAGUACAUUUGCCAAUUUGAAGGUGAACCAAGGGGACAUACACAUUCACAAUUUUCAAGCUCUUGUAUAUCAGGUUAACUAGGAAUUUCAGUAGCUCAGGCAAGUCCUGAGAAGGCUUUCCUAAAACCAGGGAAUGAAGGACGUAGUUGCUGCGUUGCGUACAUGCAGAUCAAAACCUGUGUCUCUUAUGUCUCCUGCCCAUAUCUCCUGCAGGUUCUUCACCGCUAGUGCCACCUGGGGAUUUGCUACCUGUCAUGCAUGCUAAGUCACUUUGGUCAUGUUUGAGGUUUCGUGACCCUAUAGACUGUAGCCUGCCUGGCUCCUCAGUCCAUGGGGAUUUGCUACCUUACCCAAAAGCAAAAGCGAAACACCAGUGAGCAAGAAACCCUAUGAACAAGCAACACCUAACGAUAAUUAGAUCCCUGACAUACAUGGAAAGUAUUUAGAACAAGGACAGCCACAGAAUAAUUUUUCUACAAAUACUAUCAUCAUCAUCAUCCUCAUCAUCAAUGUUUCCCAGUUUGGAUUGGAUAAUAAUGAGGAGCUGAGACAUCUGCCAAUGAAAUUCUCUGCCAUUGUACAUCAGUAGCCUCCUAUUACUCUAGGAUGAAUUAAGCUCUGAAGUGACAAGUUGAGUCAGAACUUGGACCAGUCCCCUAAUGAAAGCAAAUACAAGUGUUUUCACUGCCAUCUGAUUUGAAAGGGAAUAGUCAGGAUUCCAGGGAAGAGAAGGAAAGACUCUAGUGAAUUAGGGCUUUGCGGGAAGUGGAGAGAAAAUGGAGAAGUUCCCAGGCCUUUUGGGCACUCCCACUCCUUCCCUGUGACCACUGGUCUGCUCUUCCCUACAUGCACUGCUGAGAUUUGAAGUGAAGCCUAUGUCCUGGUGGGUCAGAACUGUGCAGUCAGACCGGCAUGGGCUCAAGUCUCAGGCAAGCCACUUAUAGUUGCUUGAUCCGUGUAUGUGUGUGUGUGUGUGUGUGUGUUAGUCGUUUAACAUUAAAGUGAAAGU
ensembl:lncRNA